UGGAAGCUUCUGGAGAUCCUGCUCCGUCGCCCCAGUGUUCAGACUACCUGUUCAGGACAAUGCCGUUGUACAGUAGUCUGCACAUUGGUUAGACUGGGCAAGGGA
rnacentral:pre_miRNA from 1 species